rnacentral:misc_RNA from 1 species
UCCGGUUUGACACCGGCAGUCUCGUUAGAGUCCCCAGCAUGACCUGUUGGCAACUAACGAUAGGGGUUUCGCUCGUUAGGGGACUUAACCCAACACCUCACGACACGAGCUGACGACAGCCAUGCACCACCUGUAUACCGACCACAAGGGGGGCACUAUCUCCAAUGCUUUCCGGUAUAUGUCAAGCCUAGGUAAGGUUCUUCGCGUUGCGUCGAAUUAAACCACAUGCUCCACCGCUUGUGCGGGCCCCCGUCAAUUCCUUUGAGUUUUAGCCUUGCGGCCGUACUCCCCAGGCGGGGAACUUAAUGCGUUAGCUUCGGCACGGACGGAGUCGACACCGCCCACACCUAGUUCCCAUCGUUUACGGCGUGGACUAC